AGAUGACUUUUCUGGAGAGAAGAGACUUAGAUUUUUAGGAAUGCUGGCAGUCUAUGGUCAUAAAUGGGGGCUUUGAAAAGGAGAACAGUAAGGGACCUUUUUUUUCUUUUUUUUUCUUAAACUCUCCUCUGGGAAGAAAGUAUUGGAAAAUGUUUGCAAGUUGAAAAAGGACAGAGGGGAAACAAAAGGUUGAGUUUCAUCACUGAAUAUUGGGGUUGGUUUUUUCUUGUAAAUUUAACUACCUUGUAAAUUCUGGAUUUUAGACCUUUGUCAGAUGGAUAGAUUGCAAAAAUUUUCCCCCAUUCUCUAGGUUGCCUGUUCAUUCUGAUGAUAGUUUCUUUUGCUGUGCAGAAGCUCUUUAAUUAGAUCCCAUUUGUCAGUUUUGGCUUUUGUUGAAAUUGCUUUUGGUGUUU
rnacentral:lncRNA from 1 species